rnacentral:lncRNA from 1 species
UCACUCUCAAAUGAAAAGUGUUCAAGUGCAUUCAAAGUGAAGCUGAAAAAAUAACCAGUUAAAAAUAGUACAAAGAAAUUUUCUUUCUUGCAAUUUGCAAGCAGUAGCUACAACCAAAAAUGGAAAAGUGUAAAAAUCGUGUCCCAGCAGACGAGCAGCAGCAGUACGAGUAUUGCAAAAUGCAGGGGCAAGGGCCCACGUAGUAUUUUUCCACGUCGGGCAUUUAAUGCUCUCGAGUUGGAAACAAUGAAACCAUACGCAAACCCCCUGGAAAAGAUGUGAUUAGUCAUCGAUUUUGCUGGUCAGCGUCGGGGAAUUUCGCAAUGCAGCAGGCAGUUUUCUCAAAUUUGGCUAGAAAGUGACCCACUAGGCAGUCUGAGGCAGUUAUCCAGGAUGUAAGGAUGUGUGCAGUACUCUCUGUGUCGAAUGGCGAUGGCCCUGACCUGCGGAUUUUGAAAGAUUGAAAUAGGAAGCCAGUUGGGCGUUGAAAGUUGAUAUCGAUAUCGAUCCGUGAAAAGUCGAUACCCUGCGCAAGCAUGGGGCGGCAUAUGGGUGCUGAAAACGCACUCGGCCCGAUCCCGAUUGCAGCGUUAUUCGAAAGCUGUGUCUGCGACCGUGACUGAGAUCAUAUGCGUACAUAUAUCUAAUGUCCGGGGUCGUAGGCCAGCCAGGGUGCUCGAUUCUGUCAGAUUGAUUGUGCGGAUUGUGUUAUAGGAACACUGGUGUAUCGACUUCUCUGCUCCACUAUGGGUGAAGGAUACCCUACCGAAAAGGCCUUCUGUCGCUUACUAUCAUCGAACAAGUUCCGUAAAGGGCAGACAUACGUACACGUGGCAGCAUAUUACGUUCAAUGACACAUCGUCUCUGGAUUAGUAGUUGAACCAACGAGCUCGAAUAUACCCUGCCAGUUGGUUGUAAAUAUUAAUUUUGUUCUUAUAUUCAGUUGUAAAGUCAAUACGGAAGACAUUUCCACACCAACCAUGUGUCACUUAUGUUCUUAAAUACCAGAAACUGUUUAAAUUUUUGUUCUUAUACACUUCACCAAUUAAGAAUUACCUGUACUGAUGUAAGUGUACCUGUUGAAUCACAACAAAAAUAGAAAAAAUGAAUAACAAAAGAGCUCUAUAACAGAAAAGCCACAGAAAAAGUGAAUAAAAAUUCAAAAAUUCAAAAAAU